rnacentral:piRNA from 1 species
UCCUUCCAGAUAGAGUUUUGUGUGCAAGA